rnacentral:rRNA from 1 species
GACGAACGCUGGCGGCGUGCUUAACACAUGCAAGUCGAACGCUGAAGCACCAGCUUGCUGGUGUGGAUGAGUGGCGAACGGGUGAGUAAUACGUGAGUAACCUGCCCUUGACUCUGGGAUAAGCCCGGGAAACUGGGUCUAAUACUGGAUGCUACAUGUCACCGCAUGGUGGUGUGUGGAAAGGGUUUACUGGUCUUGGAUGGGCUCACGGCCUAUCAGCUUGUUGGCGAGGUAAUGGCUCACCAAGGCGACGACGGGUAGCCGGCCUGAGAGGGUGACCGGCCACACUGGGACUGAGACACGGCCCAGACUCCUACGGGAGGCAGCAGUGGGGAAUAUUGCACAAUGGGCGAAAGCCUGAUGCAGCGACGCCGCGUGAGGGAUGACGGCCUUCGGGUUGUAAACCUCUUUCAGCAGGGAAGAAGCCACAAGUGACGGUACCUGCAGAAGAAGCGCCGGCUAACUACGUG